rnacentral:rRNA from 1 species
GGCGUUAAGUUGCAGGGUAUAGACCCGAAACCCGGUGAUCUAGCCAUGGGCAGGUUGAAGGUUGGGUAACACUAACUGGAGGACCGAACCGACUAAUGUUGAAAAAUUAGCGGAUGACCUGUGGCUGGGGGUGAAAGGCCAAUCAAACCGGGAGAUAGCUGGUUCUCCCCGAAAGCUAUUUAGGUAGCGCCUCGUGAAUUCAUCUCCGGGGGUAGAGCACUGUUUCGGCUAGGGGGCCAUCCCGGCUUACCAACCCGAUGCAAACUGCGAAUACCGGAGAAUGUUAUCACGGGAGACACACGGCGGGUGCUAACGUCCGUCGUGAAGAGGGAAACAACCCAGACCGCCAGCUAAGGUCCCAAAGUCAUGGUUAAGUGGGAAACGAUGUGGGAAGGCCCAGACAGCCAGGAUGUUGGCUUAGAAGCAGCCAUCAUUUAAAGAAAGCGUAAUAGCUCACUGGUCGAGUCGGCCUGCGCGGAAGAUGUAACGGGGCUAAACCAUGCACCGAAGCUGCGGCAGCGACGCUGAUGCGUUGUUGGGUAGGGGAGCGUUCUGUAAGCCUG